CUGUGGUGAUAAUUAAUUUUUUGUGUCAAAUGUGUCUGGGCCACUGUGUUCAGAUAUGUGGUCAAACAG